CCUACGGGCGGCAGCAGUGAGGAAUAUUGGUCAAUGGUCGGGAGACUGAACCAGCCAAGCCGCGUGAGGGAGAAAGGUACAGAGUAUCGUAAACCUCUUUUGUCAGGGAACAAAGGCGGGGACGUGUCCCCGGAUGAGUGUACCUGAAGAAAAAGCAUCGGCUAACUCCGUGCCAGCAGCCGCGGUAAUACGGAGGAUGCGAGCGUUAUCCGGAUUUAUUGGGUUUAAGGGGUGCGCGGGCGGUCUGUUAAGUCAGCGGUAAAAGCCCGGGGCGCAACCCCGGCCCGCCGUUGAAACUGGCAGUCUCGAGUUGGAGAGAAGUAUGCGGAAUGCGCGGUGUAGCGGUGAAAUGCAUAGAUAUCGCGCAGAACUCCGAUUGCGAAGGCAGCAUGCCGGCUCCACACUGACGCUGAGGCACGAAAGCGUGGGUAUCGAACAGGAUUAGAUACCCCUGUAGUC
rnacentral:rRNA from 1 species